GGCUUCAUAGCUCAGUGGUUUCUAGCGUUUAUAUCGAAAUCGCAAAGGUCAUGGGUUUGAAUCCCAUUGGAUCCU